rnacentral:lncRNA from 1 species
CCCUCUCUAAUAGGCUGGUCCACAGAAACCCACCACUGCAGUGACUAAUCAAUAUCCCACCAAAUCAAUAAAAGUUUCAACAGCAUGACAUGGCAAUUAUAUUACUACCCAGCCUGUUAAGGCAAAACAAACAGUUCAUACAAUUUCAACACAAUUUUCAAUUCAGCCAUUCAUGCCAAUAUCACCAUAAGCCAUUCAAUUCAAACCAUAAAUUUACAACAUAAUCAAACAGUCUCCAAUUACUCAAUUUCUAAAAUCAUCAUUCAAUUUCAAAAUUAUUUAUAAAACUCAUUUCAUUUAAUCACAUUUUACUUAUAAAACAUAAGAAUU